GGGCGAGUCGUCUAGCCUGGUCUUGGACAUCGCUCUCACACAGCGAAGGCCGAGGGUUCGAAUCCCUCCUCGCCCA
rnacentral:tRNA from 2 species